CAAGUUGGCAGUUACAAGAUGUCAAGUUUAUUAUUUAGGGUAAGAUGUCAGUUUACAACUUUAAAAUGACAUCCUAAAAUAUACUCCUUCACUACAAAGAAAAUGUAAAUCUCAUAUAAUUUUACAUUUUCUAUAGGCAUAGGAAAUAAAGGUCAAAAAAUUGUAACAGUAUAACCCAAUUGAUGAAAAAUAUUUUCAAAUUUAUGAUAAAAGUAUUUCCUGAACUAUUUUCCUUUGUGUCUUUAAAAUUUGGUAUAUUUAUAAAAAGUUACAGCAGAUUCCAUUUUAGUAAAUGUACAUUAGAAAUUCAUUCUUUUAAACUCAUUUAAUAUGUAGCUAAAAAGACUGAUUUAUAUUUUAAAAUUAUACCAACUAUAUUCAUUUUUCUAAGUAAUUUAGUCUAAGCACUUUAAGCUUAUAUUUAUUUAAUGGAAAUUAAAUUAAACAGGACACAUUUCGAGGUCCUGUUUGUCCAGUGUUGUUGGCACAGUGUGGUUCUGGGGACCAUAUGGAAGCAAAGGCCUUUUUUUUUUUUCUUGUAAAGCAAUACAAGCUUGGGCCUUGGGUAUUCCUUGUACAGCACAGCUAGAACUUCAUUUUCUGUAGCAGUUGUUAAAAAGUGAGCAGAGUCUUGUAUUCAGGCCACAGCAGUCCUAGCAUCCUGAGGGUAGAUCCUUCUCAUUGUUGCAGUUUUGGAAAGGGCAUCUGCACGUGUCUGGGAAUAAUUUGUAGAUGCUCUUUGUACAUUUUAAUGCAUCUUGGAAAUAUGUUUUCAGUGUUGUUAAGCUACACCUGAAGAAUUUAAUAUUUUCUCAUUAUUCAAGGUUUUUUCCUCCCAGUAAGAAUUUUUAUGAUAAACAGAAUAUGUCCCAGUGAUACUUUUCACAGGGAACUGUGAGAAUGCUCAAGAAUCUACUUCAGUGUGUCCCGAUUCUAAUAUUUCAUCAGAGUAUAGUUUUUCCUUCUUGUCUUAUUAACAUUCUUAAACAAUUAUUAAGUGAUGCAUGAGUUGUAGAGUAAGAGGAACCAAACAAUGAAGAGCUCCAUUAAGGUGCUAAGAAGACUGGGGGUUAAACAAACAUGGUCCCCUGUCCCACCCCCUGGUCUUUGCAAUCUUACAAGGUCCUUUGCUUACAUGAUGAGCCCAGUAGGCUUUUUGUACUCUAGGGUCUUUCUUACCUCUUGUACUAUAGCUGUUAACUUUUAUCUUUUUAAAAUUUUAUUUAAUUUUUUAUUGAAAGUAGUUAUUUUCAUGCAUCUAUCAGUCAUGGAUUCCCUUCUUUCAGAUUCUUCUCACCCACGAGCCCCUCUUUUUUCCUCUCUCUCUCUCUCUCUCUCACAAAAAGACAGGCAAAUAGAAAAGAAAAGCAAGAAUAAAACAGCAAACUAACAGC
rnacentral:lncRNA from 1 species